rnacentral:rRNA from 1 species
UACGUAGGGGGCAAGCGUUGUCCGGAUUUAUUGGGCGUAAAGGGCGCGUAGGCGGCCUGGCAAGUGGAUGGUGAAAUCCCUCGGCUUAACCGAGGAACUGCCAUCCAGACUGCUUGGCUUGAGACCGGGAGAGGUGAGUGGAAUUCCCAGUGUAGCGGUGAAAUGCGUAGAUAUUGGGAGGAACACCAGUGGCGAAGGCGGCUCACUGGACCGGUACUGACGCUGAGGCGCGAAAGCGUGGGGAGCAAACGGG